rnacentral:rRNA from 1 species
GAAGCUGGCGCGUGCCUAAUACAUGCAAGUUCGAGCCGCGGAGACGAGGAGCUUGCUCCUCUGAUCCGAGCGGCGGACGGGUGAGUAACACGUAGGCAACCUACCCAUCAGACCGGGAUAACCGCGGGAAACCGUGGCUAAUACCGGAUGACCCUUCGAAACACAAGUUUUGAAGUUGAAAGGCGCUUUUGGUGCCGUUGAUGGAUGGGCCUGCGGCGCAUUAGCUAGUUGGUGAGAUAACGGCUCACCAAGGCGACGAUGCGUAGCCGACCUGAGAGGGUGAUCGGCCACACUGGGACUGAGACACGGCCCAGACUCCUACGGGAGGCAGCAGUAGGGAAUCUUCCGCAAUGGACGAAAGUCUGACGGAGCAACGCCGCGUGAGUGAAGAAGGGUUUCGGCUCGUAAAACUCUGUUGUUAAGGAAGAAUGGCACAUGGCGUAACUACCAUGUGUGUGACGGUACUUAACCAGAAAGCCACGGCUAACUACGUGCCAGCAGCCGCGGUAAUACGUAGGUGGCAAGCGUUAUCCGGAAUUAUUGGGCGUAAAGCGCGCGUAGGCGGUUUCUUAAGUCUGAUGUGAAAGCCCCCGGCUCAACCGGGGAGGGUCAUUGGAAACUGGGGAACUUGAGUGCAGAAGAGGAGAGUGGAAUUCCAUGUGUAGCGGUGAAAUGCGCAGAGAUAUGGAGGAACACCAGUGGCGAAGGCGGCUCUCUGGUCUGUAACUGACGCUGAUGUGCGAAAGCGUGGGGAUCAAACAGGAUUAGAUACCCUGGUAGUCCACGCCGUAAACGAUGAGUGCUAAGUGUUAGGGGGUUUCCCCCCCUUAGUGCUGCAGCAAACGCAUUAAGCACUCCGCCUGGGGAGUACGACCGCAAGGUUGAACUCAAAGGAAUUGACGG